UUCCUACUACACUUCCUGUUUGAAACCCGAAGGAAACAGUCCAGUAAUCCGCAACGUGAAUGAAGUUAAUUUCCAUGGUAGGCCUUAUCUUGGCCUUGUCUGGGGCUGCUUUGGGCCUAAGACAUAAAAUCUGUGGUCAAGAGCCGGCCCACAGCGGCCGUUGCCGUGCCUUAAUAGAAUCUUAUACCUAUUAUUCCGAUACGAACGAGUGUGCAUUGUUCGAUUACGGCGGAUGCGAGGGGAACGAGAAUCGUUUCAUGAGGAAAGCGGAAUGCGAGUCAAAAUGCAGAGAAUAAUUCAUUGUUUUUUAUUCUUAGUUCAUCAAAAGUUGUACGAAUAAAUGGAUAUUCAAUUGAAAAACUGGUACAGGCUGUUCUCGGUUCCAGAUUCGGUUCAGAACUAAUGUAAUUAUGGUUAUUCCUCAGAUAUCUACUUCAGACAAGUCGCUUCACAUCACCUGAAACACACAGGCCACUAAUCCGCAAUGAGUAUGAAGUUAAUUUCCAUAGUAGGCGUUAUCUUUGCCUUGUCUGGGGUUGCUAUUGGGCUCAAGAAUCGGAUCUGUGGUCAAAAAUCGGCCCACUUCGGGUACUGCAGUGGCUAUAAGAAAGGAUUUACCUAUUAUCCCGAGACGAACGAGUGCAAAAUGUUCGUUUACGGCCGAUGUGCUGGGAACAAAAAUCGUUUCAAGGAUAAAGCGGUCUGCGAGGCAAAGUGCAAGGAAUAAUAAAUAUUCUGAGUUGUACGAAAAA
rnacentral:sRNA from 1 species